rnacentral:rRNA from 1 species
AGAGUUUGAUCCUGGCUCAGGAUGAACGCUAGCGACAGGCUUAACACAUGCAAGUCGAGGGGCAGCAUAAAAGUAGCAAUACUUUGGUGGCGACCGGCGCACGGGUGAGUAACGCGUAUGCAACCUACCUAUCAGAGGGGAAUAACCCGGCGAAAGUCGGACUAAUACCGCAUAAAACAGGGGCACCGCAUGGUGAUAUUUGUUAAAGAAAUUCGCUGAUAGAUGGGCAUGCGUUCCAUUAGGUAGUUGGUGAGGUAACGGCUCACCAAGCCGACGAUGGAUAGGGGAACUGAGAGGUUGGUCCCCCACACUGGUACUGAGACACGGACCAGACUCCUACGGGAGGCAGCAGUGAGGAAUAUUGGUCAAUGGACGAGAGCCUGAACCAGCCAAGUCGCGUGAAGGAAGAAGGAUCUAUGGUUCGUAAACUUCUUUUGCAGGGGAAUAAAGUGCAGGACGUGUCCUGUUUUGUAUGUACCCUGAGAAUAAGGAUCGGCUAACUCCGUGCCAGCAGCCGCGGUAAUACGGAGGAUCCGAGCGUUAUCCGGAUUUAUUGGGUUUAAAGGGUGCGUAGGUGGUUUGAUAAGUCAGCGGUGAAAGUUUGCAGCUUAACUGUAAAAAUGCCGUUGAAACUGUCGGACUUGAGUGUAAAUGAGGUAGGCGGAAUGCGUGGUGUAGCGGUGAAAUGCAUAGAUAUCACGCAGAACUCCGAUUGCGAAGGCAGCUUACUAAGCUACAACUGACACUGAAGCACGAAAGCGUGGGGAUCAAACAGGAUUAGAUACCCUGGUAGUCG